rnacentral:rRNA from 1 species
UACGAAGGGUGCAAGCGUUACUCGGAAUUACUGGGCGUAAAGCGUGCGUAGGUGGUGAGUUAAGUCUGUCGUGAAAAGCCCCCGGGCUCAACCUGGGAAUGGCGAUGGAUACUGGCUCGCUAGAGUGCGGGUAGAGGAGAGUGGAAAUUCCCGGUGUAGCAGUGAAAUGCGUAGAGAUCGGGAGGAACAUCAGUUGCGGAAGGCGGACUCUCUGGACCAGCUCGUGACACUGAAGGCACGAAAGCGUGGGGAGCAAACAGG